rnacentral:rRNA from 1 species
AACGCGAAGAACCUUACCUAAGCUUGACAUCCUUUUGACCGAUGCUUAAUCGCAUCUUUCCCUUCGGGGACAGAAGUGACAGGUGGUGCAUGGUUGUCGUCAGCUCGUGUCGUGAGAUGUUGGGUUAAGUCCCGCAACGAGCGCAACCCUUGCCUUUAGUUGCCAGCAUUAAGUUGGGCACUCUAGAGGGACUGCCGAGGAUAACUCGGAGGAAGGUGGGGAUGACGUCAAAUCAUCAUGCCCCUUAUGCUUAGGGCUACACACGUGCUACAAUGGGUGGUACAGAGGGUUGCCAAGCCGCGAGGUGGAGCUAAUCCCUUAAAGCCAUUCUCAGUUCGGAUUGUAGGCUGAAACUCGCCUACAUGAAGCUGGAGUUACUAGUAAUCGCAGAUCAGAAUGCUGCGGUGAAUGCGUUCCCGGGUCUUGUACACACCG